CUACGGGGGGCUCCAGUGGGGAAUUUUGGACAAUGGGGGAAACCCUGAUCCAGCCAUCCCGCGUGUGCGAUGAAGGCCUUCGGGUUGUAAAGCACUUUUGGCAGGAAAGAAGCGUCGCGGGUUAAUACCCUGCGAAACUGACGGUACCUGCAGAAUAAGCACCGGCUAACUACGUGCCAGCAGCCGCGGUAAUACGUAGGGUGCAAGCGUUAAUCGGAAUUACUGGGCGUAAAGCGUGCGCAGGCGGUUCGGAAAGAAAGAUGUGAAAUCCCAGAGCUUAACUUUGGAACUGCAUUUUUAACUACCGGGCUAGAGUGUGUCAGAGGGAGGUGGAAUUCCGCGUGUAGCAGUGAAAUGCGUAGAUAUGCGGAGGAACACCGAUGGCGAAGGCAGCCUCCUGGGAUAACACUGACGCUCAUGCACGAAAGCGUGGGGAGCAAACAGGAUUAGAUACCCGCGUAGUC
rnacentral:rRNA from 1 species